rnacentral:rRNA from 1 species
UACGUAGGGAGCUAGCGUUGUUCGGAUAUACUGGGCGUAAAGCGCACGUAGGCGGCGCCGUAAGUCAGGGGUGAAAUCCCGGAGCUCAACUCCGGAACUGCCCUUGAAACUGCAGUGCUAGAAUCUUGGAGAGGCGAGUGGAAUUCCGAGUGUAGAGGUGAAAUUCGUAGAUAUUCGGAAGAACACCAGUGGCGAAGGCGGCUCACUGGCCCGGUACUGACGCUGAGGUGCGAAAGCGUGGGGAGCAAACAGG